rnacentral:lncRNA from 1 species
UGGUUCAUAUGUAGCCAGCCUUGUUAAGGCUCCACUGCUAUGUGAAAACCAGCCUCAGGGCUCCCCCUCCAGUUUGAACCGAUGGAGAACCACUAAGCAGGCGGCUCAAAUUCCAUUUUACCCCUCCAUUAUCCUAUCUUAAACCAAUGGAAAUGGAACUGGAUCAAUGGAACUUAAGCCAAUUUGCUAAUACCAUCAUAAUUGCAGAGGGAGCCCUUAUAUGGUUAAAAGGCUUGGAGUGGGCAGGCCAAACAUACAUAGCCUUGUUCCAUCACCCUAUUGCCCUCACACGAGUUACAAGCUAGCGUUACUG